CACCUAAAGCAGACAAACCCAUUCCAAAAAAAAUUGUUUAUAUUUCAAAAUUGCACAUUUCAAAAUUACUCAUGUAUUGAGAAGUUUUGCAAGUUCCACACUUGUGAACACAACAGAAAAGAUCCGAUCCAAGUAAGUUUUAAGCAUAUUUUAUUAACUUCAAGUAAUUGCCACUUCCCAGCAUUCUCCACGCAGCGUUACAAUCUGACACACACUGUAGAAGAUUGCUCUAUCCCCAGUAGUCUCACAAACUGGUCUGCCUUCUUUAUACGGGUCAUUAUACAUAUAAAGGUUCUUCAGAGGUUUAAUGCCACUUACCCUAUCUUUUAUAGGACAGAAACCUUUGUUCAUGUCUUCUGGUAGUCAUCAUCUUCCUUUGAGCUGCACCUACAACACAAAGAACAAGUGAACGAGCAACUUUAUGCUUCUCUAGAGUAGCUUAAAACAGUUCUGUAGGCAUUAAGGUGCAUCUUUCCUACUGCUUUUUGUAUCACCAACUCAUUUGUUUUAUAUUCCUAAUUUAAGAAUAAAUUACAAAGCAACAUAAAAAAAUAAGCUUUUACUACCUGUGUAAAACUGCCCUCAGAAGUGCUGCCUACGUUGUGGAAGUGCAAGUUACUUUCUGCAUUUAACUAGCAAGCAACUAGUACUUCAUUAAGUGUGAAAGCUGAAUUUAUUUCUGGUACAUAAUGAGAUACCUUAAUAGGUGAAAAUAAAGUCUGAUUAUUUUUUAUAAAGAAUUCUAUAGUAAAAAAUUGAGAAGAGACAGGUUGAAGGUUCCAAAUAGGCAUAUAAAACCACCCAUCUCCUGCCUGCUUUUGUAGUUAGUUCAUUACAUCUCCUUGGUGGGGUAUUCCCCACCAGCAAAAUGACUGCUUUGCCUCAUUUUCCAUUCCUGCGUGCACUAAGAGUGCAUGAUUUUUGUCAAUGUAUACCUAGAUGGAUAAAAAAAACCUUUCUUAAUUCAAAGAAUUAUAAAAUAUGUGAAACCAGUGGGUUUAUCACACCUUUUCAGAAUAUAUUAAUAAAAACGUAAAGAGGAACCUCUUAAUUUUGUAAAAGAGAACAUUAAAACAGCAGUAAGGACCUGAAAAGUUUGAUUCUGUUUUCCUCCAGUUGUAUAACCAACUCAAAUGUUUCAAGCUGUUUUUAACUUGUUGCUAAAUGUUUAUCUACACAUGCUGUCAGAAAUAACCUUGUUAGGAAGGUGAAGUUGGUGUCUCAGCAAAUCAGACCCCAUGGAGUAGGCGUUGAGUGGCCUGUGACUCGCUUUCCUUUUUCUCUUUCAGCACCAUCAAAAGGAAAAGUGAGAAAAACAGCACAAACAUUAGUUAAAGCCUGAAUUUAAUCCCACGUCCUACAGGAAUAAUUUCAUUACAAUGAAAGCAGACAGACAGUAUCUGUAGAGUUUUUUGCUUUCUUUUGUUUUUUAAGCAGUGAUAAUUAUAUAUCUAAUUAAUAUAGCCUAUAGCUCUUCCAAAGAUCAUAGUUU
rnacentral:lncRNA from 1 species